rnacentral:rRNA from 1 species
GGGGGGAUAACAUCCGGAAACGGGUGCUAAUACCGCAUAGUUUUCUUGAUUGCAUGAUUGAGAAAGGAAAGACGGCCUUUGUGCUGUCGCUUAUGGAUGGACCCGCGGCGUAUUAGUUAGUUGGUGAGGUAACGGCUCACCAAGACGAUGAUACGUAGCCGACCUGAGAGGGUGAUCGGCCACGAUUGGGACUGAGACACGGCCCAAACUCCUACGGGAGGCAGCAGUAGGGGAAUCUUCCGCAAGUGGACGAAAGUCUGACGGAGCAACGCCGCGUGAGUGAAAAGAAGGUUUUUCGGAUCGUAAAACUCUGUUGUCAGAGAAGAACAAGUUGGAGAGUAACUGCUCCAGCCUUGACGGUAUCUGACCAGAAAGCCACGGCUAACUACGUGCCAGCCGCGGC